CGCGGUAUUAUGACCGUGCGAAGGUAGCAUAAUCAUUAGCCUUUUAAUUGGGGGCUGGAAUGAAUGGUCGGACGAGAAGUAAGCUGUCUUUAUUUCAUGGAUUGAAUUUAACUUUUAAGUGAGAAGGCUUAAAUGGGUUAGAGGGACGAUAAGACCCUAUAAAGUUUAUACAUGGGGUUAAUUAAGAGUGAUUUAGGACAGUAAAGUUUGCUAUUAGCAAGAUGUUUGGUUGGGGCGACUAGAAUAUAAGUUAUAUAACUGUUUUUUAUUUAAGUCAGAAGUAUUUGUUUGUAGUGAUCCCUUUUUAGGAUUUAAGAGUAAAUUACUUUAGGGAUAACAGCGUAAUUUUUUUUGAGAGUUCUUAUCGACAAAAGAGUUUGCGACCUCGAUGUUGAAUUAAAAAUUUCUUUGCGGUGUAGU
rnacentral:rRNA from 1 species